AUUGAACGCUGGCGGCAUGCCUUACACAUGCAAGUCGAACGGCAGCACGGGUGCUUGCACCUGGUGGCGAGUGGCGAACGGGUGAGUAAUACAUCGGAACAUGUCCUGUAGUGGGGGAUAGCCCGGCGAAAGCCGGAUUAAUACCGCAUACGAUCUACGGAUGACAGCGGGGGACCUUCGGGCCUUGCGCUAUAGGGUUGGCCGAUGGCUGAUUAGCUAGUUGGUGGGGUAAAGGCCUACCAAGGCGACGAUCAGUAGCUGGGCUGAGAGGACGAACAGCCACACUGGGACUGAGACACGGCCCAGACUCCUACGGGAGGCAGCAGUGGGGAAUUUUGGACAAUGGGCGAAAGCCUGAUCCAGCAAUGCCGCGUGUGUGAAGAAGGCCUUCGGGUUGUAAAGCACUUUUGUCCGGAAAGAAAUCCUUGGCCCUAAUACGGUCGGGGGAUGACGGUACCGGAAGAAUAAGCACCGGCUAACUACGUG
rnacentral:rRNA from 1 species